rnacentral:rRNA from 1 species
GGGUGAACGCUGGCGGCGUGCCUAACACAUGCAAGUCGAGCGGUGCAGCUGGAGGCUUCGGCCGAAGGCUGCAUAGCGGCGGACGGGUGCGUAACGCGUAGGAACGUGCCCCCUGGAGGGCGGAUAGCCGCGGGAAACUGCGGGUAAACCGCCAUAGACUCGGGAGAGUAAAGGCCGGAAGGCGCCAGGGGAGCGGCCUGCGUCCCAUCAGGUAGUUGGUAGGGUAACGGCCUACCAAGCCUACGACGGGUAGCCGGUCUGAGAGGAUGGCCGGCCACAAGGGCACUGAGACACGGGCCCUACUCCUACGGGAGGCAGCAGUGGGGGAUAUUGGACAAUGGGCGGAAGCCUGAUCCAGCGACGCCGCGUGGAGGACGAAGCCCUUCGGGGUGUAAACUCCUUUUGUCGGGGAAAAAGAGCCGAUGGUACCCGACGAAUAAGCCCCGGCUAACUACGUGCCAGCAGCCGCGGUAAUACGUAGGGGGCGAGCGUUACCCGGAAUCACUGGGCGUAAAGGGUGCGUAGGCGGCCGCGUGUGUCUGGCGUAAAAUUCCACGGCUCAACUGUGGGUAUGCGCUGGAAACUACGUGGCUUGGGUGCGGCAGAGGCAGACGGAACUGCUGGUGUAGGGGUGAAAUCCGUAGAUAUCAGCAGGAACGCCGGUGGAGAAGUCGGUCUGCUGGGCCGUAACCGACGCUGAGGCACGAAAGCUAGGGGAGCGAACCGGAUUAGAUACCCGGGUAGUCCUAGCCGUAAACGAUGCUCACUAGGUGUGGGGGCGGAAGCCUCCGUGCGAAGCGAACGCG